AACUGAUACUACCUGCGGGAACCUGCGGAAGGAUCAUUACCGAGUUUACAACUCCCAAACCCAAUGUGAACGUUACCAAACUGUUGCCUCGGCGGGAUCUCUGCCCCGGGUGCGUCGCAGCCCCGGACCAAGGCGCCCGCCGGAGGACCAACCAAAACUCUUAUUGUAUACCCCCUCGCGGGUUUUUUUAUAAUCUGAGCCUUCUCGGCGCCUCUCGUAGGCGUUUCGAAAAUGAAUCAA
rnacentral:misc_RNA from 1 species